GGAGCCUCCUAGUGGCAAAUCUAAUAAUGGCAUUAAUCAUAAAAACAAAAAAAAUAGAUCUCAUAUAUCUGUUACUCCUUAUGCAGAUUAAUCUUUCUAUGAGGAUUAAAUUAAGGUGGGAUAUGUGAUAAUUAUAGUGAUGCUUAGUUCUUUGAUUUUCAGUGAGUCAAAACUUCACACCUAAAAUUACUAUAAUUUUGUCUCAAUAAUAAUUCAUUAUUACAAAUUGAAAAUUGUAGUAUAUUUAUUUUAUCUACUAGUUCCUUAACAGUGGCUAUCAUUGUUCUCAAUUCAUACUGAAAUGCUAGCUAUAGGACCAUUGUUAUGAAACUGUUGGAGCAUUAUAUUCUGUUGAAAGAUGUGAAAGAAAAGCCUGAAUUACCAAAAAAUUGAUAUUAUGAAAAUAAUACACAUUAAUUAUCCAUGAUAGUAAAACUUUUAAAAUAUAAAACUCUUUUAAAAAUCAUCCAUAAACUUGCUUCUUAGUGUUUUUCUCUGUAGGAUUCAAAAAAUAUUAUAAAAUAUUUCUGAACAAUAUAAUGAAUACUUAUGUAAACAUAUAUAGUUAAAAAAUAAAAUGUGAUCAGUAUAGUUGAAACCUUCUGUGUACCCUAGAUCACAUCCCUUUUAUUCUAUCCCAAAGGUAAUCACAAUCCUACAUUGGUUGUUUUAAAAGUCAAUAUAUAUAUGUGAAUAAAAAGAAAUAUGAACAUAUAUAUGUGUGUGUGUGUGUGUAUGUGUACUUGGGGAUUGAACCCAAGGACCCUCUAGUGCCGAGCUACAUACCCAGACCUUUUUAUUUAUUUUUAUUUUUAUUAUUUUUUACUACUGGAGAUUUAACCCAGGGAUGCUUUACCACUGAGCUACAUUUCCAGCCCCUUUUAUUUUUUAUUUUGAGACAGGGUUUGGCUGAAUUACUGAGGCUGGCCUCAAACUUGCAAUCCUUCUGCUUUAGUGUCCCAAAUAGCUGAUAUGGUACUGCACCUAGCUAUAUAUUGUAUUCUUAGAAUUACAUUUUAUUUAUUUACUUUUUUGGUACUAUGGAUUGAACUCAUGGGUGUUAACUACUGAGCCACAUCCCCAGCCAUUUUUUAUUUUUUAUUUUGAGACAGGGUCUCACUAAUGUGCUUAGAGCUUUGCUCAGUUGCUGAGGCUAGCUUUGAACUUGUGAUCCUCCUGUCUCUGCCUCCUGAAUUGUUGGGAUUACAGGCAUGCACCCACUGCACCUGGCUUAAAAUUUCAUUUUCAUUUACGAUUAUAUUUGUAAAAUGGAUCUGUGUUGACAUGUAGCUCUUAUUCAUUUAUUUUUGUUGCCAUGUUGUAGUAUCUCUGAAUAUUCCAUGUUUUAUCCAGUCUCUUCUUCAUGGAGUUUAAGUUGUUUUUAAUUUAUUGUUUGUAGUCUCCCAUGAUCACUCUUGUACAUGUUUUUUUAUGUAUACAUGGGUAAGAAUUUGCCAGGGUAGAAACUUGGAAGUACAGUUGUUCUCUUAAAUGGUAUGUGUGCC
rnacentral:lncRNA from 1 species